rnacentral:rRNA from 1 species
AUUGAACGCUGGCGGCAUGCCUUACACAUGCAAGUCGAACGGCAGCAUGGAGAGCUUGCUCUCUGAUGGCGAGUGGCGAACGGGUGAGUAAUGCAUCGGAACGUACCGUGUAAUGGGGGAUAACGUAGUGAAAGUUACGCUAAUACCGCAUACGACCUGAGGGUGAAAGCAGGGGAUCGCAAGACCUUGCGUUAUACGAGCGGCCGAUGUCAGAUUAGCUAGUGGGUGAGGUAAAGGCUCACCAAGGCGACGAUAUGUAGCGGGUCUGAGAGGAGGAUCGGCCAAACUGGGGCUGAGACACGGCCCAGACUCCUGCGAGAGGCAGCAGUGGGGAAUUUUGAACAAUGGGGGCAACCCUGAUCCAGCCAUGCCGCGUGAGUGAAGAAGGCCUUCGGGUUGUAAAGCUCUUUCGGCCGGGAAGAAAUCGCACAGGCUAAUACUCUGUGUGGAUGACGGUACCGGCAUAAGAAGCACCGGCUAACUACGUGCCAGCCGCCGCCGUAA